UGGGGAAUAUUGCACAAUGGGCGAAAGCCUGAUGCAGCAACGCCGGCGUGAGUGAUGAAGGUCUUCGGAUUGUAAAGCUCUGUCUUUUGGGACGAUAAUGACGGUACCAAAGGAGGAAGCCACGGCUAACUACGUGCCAGCAGCCGCGGUAAUACGUAGGUGGCGAGCGUUGUCCGGAUUUACUGGGCGUAAAGGGUGCGUAGGCGGAUGUUUAAGUGAGAUGUGAAAUACCCGGGCUUAACUUGGGUGCUGCAUUUCAAACUGGAUGUCUAGAGUGCAGGAGAGGAGAAUGGAAUUCCUAGUGUAGCGGUGAAAUGCGUAGAGAUUAGGAAGAACACCAGUGGCGAAGGCGAUUCUCUGGACUGUAACUGACGCUGAGGCACGAAAGCGUGGGUAGCAAACAGGAUUAGAUACCCUGGUAGUCCACGCCGUAAACGAUGAGUACUAGGUGUAGGAGGUAUCGACCCCUUCUGUGCCGC
rnacentral:rRNA from 1 species